GAGAACCUUCGGGGUCGGGUGAAAAUCCCAGCCGGCGGAAAGAGCAGCUGCUCCAAGCCCGCGACGGAAAGUCAGUGUUAAGCACGGCUUUCCCUGAUUUGGUGAAAAUCCAAAGCCGACAGUGAAAGUCUGGAUGGGAGAAGGUUGUA
rnacentral:ncRNA from 2 species